rnacentral:sRNA from 1 species
UGCACGUGGUAGGAGAGCGUU